rnacentral:rRNA from 1 species
CCUACGGGUGGCAGCAGUGGGGGAUCUUGCACAAUGGGGGAAACCCUGAUGCAGCGACGCCGCGUGUGGGAAGACGGUCCUCUGGAUUGUAACCCACUGUCUCCAGGGACGAUGAUGACGGUACCUGGGGAGGAAGCUCCGCCUAACUACGUGCCAGCAGCCGCGGUAAUACGUAGGGGGCAAGCGUUGUCCGGAAUUCCUGGGUGUAAAGGGAGCGUAGGCGGGAUGGCAAGUUGGGUGUUAAAUCUACGGGCUCAACUUGUCGUCGUACUCAAAACUGCUAUGCUUGAGUGAAGUAGAGGCAGGCGGAAUUCCUAGUGUAGGAGUGAAAUGCGUAGAUAUUAGGAGGAACACCAGUGGCGAAGGCAGGCUGCUGGGCUUGUACUGACGCUGAGGCUCGAAAGUGUAGGGAGCAAACAGGAUUAGAUACCCUAGUAGUC